rnacentral:rRNA from 1 species
UACGGAGGGUCCGAGCGUUAUCCGGAAUUACUGGGUUUAAAGGGUGCGUAGGCGGCGUAAUAAGUCAGAGGUGAAAGGCCACCGCUUAACGGUGGGACUGCCUUUGAUACUGUUAUGCUAGAAUAUGGAUGAGGUAGGCGGAAUGUGGCAUGUAGCGGUGAAAUGCAUAGAUAUGCCAUAGAACACCAAUUGCGAAGGCAGCUUACUGGACCAUUAUUGACGCUGAGGCACGAAAGCGUGGGGAGCGAACAGG